GGUGUUUGGUUUUUAUUUGGUUCUACAGAAAGGGUAUGCUUGUUUUUUUUUUAAUUUUUACAGUGUUACAACAAAGCUGAUGCUGGUGGCAGGUUAUGGCACGAAUGCUAAUUUACAUCUGUAGUCCCUGAGCAGCAAUCAUGUCCUGCUGUGAAUGAUCAGCAUAUGGCACAGCACAGGACCCCCUGAGCUCCUCCUGACAGAGGAUUCUUCAGAAAGACAAGUCUGGGCUUGGAAACCAAUCAUCUUUGAUAUUCAGUGACACGGAGCCUGCAUGGGGCCAUUUGAUCAGCGGCCGUCUGCUGAGCCUCUGAGGGCAUUAUUUGUGUCUUCUCUUAUCGGGCCCUUGAUGGGAUGGUUGCCCAGGAGACGCAGGGACAUUGCUAUAGCGACUGCUCAGAGAUGAGACAAGAGGUGGAAGCAAAUUAGUCCUACACAAAAUAUUGUUCAGGUCAGACUCUAUUGGGACACAAAUAUGCAUUUUAUUUAUCAAAAACAACUGUUGUUUUUUUAUUGGCUGUUUAUAGUCGACACGCAACUGUCCAACAGUUUCAUUUCACCUUUCUGUUCUGCUUUGUUGGUUUUUAGAUUUCAUAUCAUUUAUUAAAAUCUAAAGAAAACUGCAAACAAUGGCACAUAAUAGACUAUCAAAACCAUUUUUCUCUUCUCUUACCCUUUAGUGUCUCAUCUAUA